rfam:Vibrio mytili strain CAIM 528 contig00008, whole genome shotgun sequence.
GGAGGAACCUCUGGAGAGAACCGUUAAAUCGGUCGCCGAAGGAGCAAAUCUUGCGUUUACGCAGGGUGAAACUCUCAGGCAAAAGGACAGAGGAGUGGAA